CAAGUCGAACGGGAAUCUUCGGAUUCUAGUGGCGGACGGGUGAGUAACGCGUAAGAAUCUAACUUCAGGACGGGGACAACAGUUGGAAACGACUGCUAAUACCCGAUAUGCCGCGAGGUGAAACCUAAUUGGCCUGAAGAAGAGCUUGCGUCUGAUUAGCUAGUUGGUGGGGUAAGAGCCUACCAAGGCGACGAUCAGUAGCUGGUCUGAGAGGAUGAGCAGCCACACUGGGACUGAGACACGGCCCAGACUCCUACGGGAGGCAGCAGUGGGGAAUUUUCCGCAAUGGGCGAAAGCCUGACGGAGCAACGCCGCGUGAGGGAGGAAGGUCUUUGGAUUGUAAACCUCUUUUCUCAAGGAAGAAGUUCUGACGGUACUUGAGGAAUCAGCCUCGGCUAACUCCGUGCCAGCAGCCGCGGUAAUACGGGGGAGGCAAGCGUUAUCCGGAAUUAUUGGGCGUAAAGCGUCCGCAGGUGGUCAGCCAAGUCUGCUGUCAAAUCAGGUUGCUUAACGACCUAAAGGCGGUGGAAACUGGCAGACUAGAGAGCAGUAGGGGUAGCAGGAAUUCCCAGUGUAGCGGUGAAAUGCGUAGAGAUUGGGAAGAACAUCGGUGGCGAAAGCGUGCUACUGGGCUGUAUCUGACACUCAGGGACGAAAGCUAGGGGAGCGAAAGGGAUUAGAUACCCCUGUAGUCCUAGCCGUAAACGAUGGAUACUAGGCGUGGCUUGUAUCGACCCGAGCCGUGCCGAAGCUAACGCGUUAAGUAUCCCGCCUGGGGAGUACGCACGCAAGUGUGGAACUCAAAGGAAUUGACGG
rnacentral:rRNA from 1 species